rnacentral:rRNA from 1 species
CAGCCGCCGCGGUAAUACGGAGGGUGCAAGCGUUAAUCGGAAUUACUGGGCGUAAAGCGCACGUAGGCGGCUUGGUAAGUUAGAGGUGAAAGCCUGGAGCUCAACUCCAGAAUUGCCUUUAAGACUGCCGAGCUAGCAGGUGAGAGAGGUAAGUGGAAUUCCGAGUGUAGAGGUGAGAUUCGUAGAUAUUCGGAAGAACACCAGUGGCGAAGGCGGCUUACUGGCUCAUUCUAGACGCUGAGGUGCGAAAGCGUGGGGAGCAAACAGGAUUAGAUACCCGUGUAGUCCCUGUCUCUUAUAU